rnacentral:rRNA from 1 species
GUGUCAGCAGCCGCGGUAAUACGUAGGGGGCAAGCGUUGUCCGGAAUCAUUGGGCGUAAAGCGCGUGUAGGCGGCUGAGUAAGUCUGCUCUGAAAGCCCGGGGCUCAACCCCGGGAGGCGGGUGGAUACUGCUCAGCUCGAGUCCGGAAGAGGAGUGUGGAAUUCCUGGUGUAGCGGUGAAAUGCGCAGAUAUCAGGAGGAACACCAAUGGCGAAGGCAGCACUCUGGGACGGUACUGACGCUGAGACGCGAAAGCGUGGGGAGCAAACAGGAUUAGAUACCCUGGUAGUCCACGCCGUAAACGAUGGGCACUAGGUGUGGGGGGUGUCGACUCCCUCCGUGCCGAAGCUAACGCAUUAAGUGCCCCGCCUGGGGAGUACGGCCGCAAGGCUAAA